UUAUAUAAACCGGAUGUAUAUCCCGAGUAUAUAAAGCGUGUGAGUACGUGUUUCGGUCAUUUGCGGAGCAGUUUGUUGGCUGUUGCUGAGAUUUAAUGCAUGAUGGCAGCUCCUAGUGUAUUUUGGUAGAAUUGAAGUACAAGUAGUAAUGAAAUUACUCUUUCUGCAAGGCAAACAACCAGCAGAAAUCCAUGGCCAGAUGAAGAACGUCUUGAAAUAUGGCUGUCCAUCUUACUCCACAAUAAAAAUCAGGCUAACUGAUCAUUUUGGCAGGACAGCCAACUUCUGCAACUACAGAGGACGUUGUGCAUGUCAUGAUUCUCGAGGACUACUGGGUUUCAGCUGAGACUCCGAGGAUUUCCCGCGAAAGAGUUAAUCACAUCAUCCACAACAUUCUGGGCAUAGGAAAGCUUUCUGCAAGGUGGGUGCCUGAAUGCAGAUCUCAAGUACAUCAGGAUGACAGCAUCAAAGGUGAUUUUGGACCAGUCUGCAGCAGGAGAGGUUGAUUUUAUGGCUUGUUUAGUCACCUUGGAUGAAACUAGGCUUCAUCCCCGGACCAAGCAGCAAUCAAUGGAGUGGAGUCACGGUUGUUCACCACAUCCCAAGAAGUUUUGAACCCGGAAAAUGACUAGAAAGGUUCUGGCUUCAGUGUUCUGGGAGUACCCCUUUUAUAAUACCUGCCAAAGGGUGCACCAUCAAUGCAGAAUACUACAUGUCUCUGUUGGAUGAAGCUUUGAUGCCAUGGAAAGCUGACCCAUAAUGCCCUGCUUUUGUAGGGUAGUUGUACCAACACAUGAAACCCUACAGAAACUACACAGCUUUGGCUUUGAAUUGGUAGACCUCCGACCUUACUCUUCUGAUUAUCACCUCUUUUCACAACUGAAGAAACGCCUCCACAAUGAAAUUUCACUCUGAGGGGUGAUUGUUGCUACAACCUCCCAAGUUCUUUUUUCAGGGUUUAGAGAAGCUGAGGAACUGCUGUGAUAGGUGUGUGAAUCUGAGAGAUGAAUACGUUGAAUAAAAUCACUAGCAGCUAAGCCUGGUCUGUUUGGAUGAUGUGGCUAUGAUAGAUUAACUAAUUCUCCUGUAUUUUCUUUUAUCUAGAGCCAGGGAAUUUUAAGUAUCCCUUUGUAUAUAAUGUUACCAUUACCAAUAGUUUCUGAUAUCAUGAUGAACACAGGUCGGAACACUGUGCUAUUUUCAGCAGUGAUGACAGCUCUAUUCAUUCACUUCUGAAUAUCAGAAACUAAUUGUGUGAUGUCUUGUUCUUUGAUUCCCCUUCACUUAUUCAUUUCUUAAAUCAAUGCUUUGUAAUCAUGAAUUUCAAUAAAAUGCUUUUAUUAAAAAAGAAA